UACGUAGGUGGCAAGCGUUGUCCGGAUUUACUGGGUGUAAAGGGCGUGCAGCCGGGGAGACAAGUCAGAUGUGAAAUCCACGGGCUCAACCCGUGAACUGCAUUUGAAACUGUUUCCCUUGAGUGUCGGAGAGGUCAUCGGAAUUCCUUGUGUAGCGGUGAAAUGCGUAGAUAUAAGGAAGAACACCAGUGGCGAAGGCGGAUGACUGGACGAUAACUGACGGUGAGGCGCGAAAGCGUGGGGAGCAAACAGG
rnacentral:rRNA from 1 species